GGAGGAAAGUAGGGGAUCGCAAGACCUUGUGCUUUUGGAGCGGCCGAUGUCUGAUUAGCUAGUUGGUGGGGUAAUGGCUUACCAAGGCUUCGAUCAGUAGCUGGUCUGAGAGGACGACCAGCCACACUGGGACUGAGACACGGCCCAGACUCCUACGGGAGGCAGCAGUGGGGAAUUUUGGACAAUGGGGGAAACCCUGAUCCAGCCAUGCCGCGUGAGUGAAGAAGGCCUUCGGGUUGUAAAGCUCUUUCAGCCGGAACGAAAUGGUCACGGUUAAUACCCGUGACAAAUGACGGUACCGGAAGAAGAAGCACCGGCUAACUACGUGCCAGCAGCCGCGGUAAUACGUAGGGUGCAAGCGUUAAUCGGAAUUACUGGGCGUAAAGCGUGCGCAGGCGGUUUUGUAAGUCAGAUGUGAAAUCCCCGGGCUUAACCUGGGAACUGCCUUUGAAACUACAAAGCUAG
rnacentral:rRNA from 1 species